GCAAAAGCAACAGUGUUUGUGGUGAAUGUCAAAGAAGGAGCCCAGGCCCCGUGGCGGGGAUUGUUUCCUUGUGAGUAGGUUCCUAAAGGAGCAAUUCCUGGCUUCCGCGUCCUGAGCGUAAGGACUCGAGCUGCUCUGUCCGACGUCAUAAGGUGGAAGAUAGAACUUUGCAGGCUCGUUGACGGGAUGAGGGCCACCCUCGAAAAGAUCUGUUGCCACUCGGUUAAGAAAUCAGAAACAAGGAGCAGGAGAAAAAGCAAGACCCUGCAGCUGGAGUGGCUAGACACAGAACUGCCCUCCUCGGAAGUAUCAAAGGACCCAGCUCCUGGGGACGGCCCCCAAGGUCAGCUCUCGCCUCCAGUGCCCUUUCUCUUCCUUGAUUCUUCUUGAACCCCACUAAAGUGUUGAACUUCUCAGUUACCCUAUGAGUUAGGGAGGGAUAACCACCCCCACACCAGAGAUUGACAAGCUGGGAUGCAGAGAAAGAAGCAAGUUUCCCAGUAUCCUGCAGGCUGCAGAAUUUAUUUUCUGGGUUCCAGCGUUCUUCCGUCACCUUCCACGCCCUCCUCUGUCAUGGCCCACAGAGCCACAAGAGCUCCUUCAGACUGGUGUUUGGAGAGAAUGGCUUAUGGAUAUCAUCUUUAACUUUGCUAAAUCAUUAUUCUGAGAAGGGUCCACAGGCUUCAACAGAUGCCAAAGGGGUUCACGACACACACAAAAAAAAUGGGAAUUGUUAGGACAUUCAUCCAAAAGCCAUUUGUUAAGCACCGGUUGGAUGUGUGGACAAGGGAGAUAGAUGACUCUCAAAUUUCUGGCCUGAGUGUCGAAGUGGAGAAUUCUACUUUUCAGCAAGAAACAGAAUGUGUGUGAGGAGCGAGGGGAGAUCAAACUUGUGAGGGAAGGAAAUUGUUGAGCUUUGAACUUGGUGAGUUUGAGGUUGGAUGACUAUAGUCGGAUAUAUGGAUCCAAAGCUUAGAAAAAAGUCUAGGUUCGAAAUCUUAACGUGGGGGUCAUAGUUGCAUAUGUGGUACGUAAAACUAUUGGCAAGGAUGAGAUUGCUCUUUUACCAUGCAGACAUGCAUUCUUUGAGGACUUUUAAGUAGCUGAAGACAAUGACAGGUGUACAAUAAGUAACCCCCCAACCCCCUCCCUCCACCAAACAACAAAAUAGAUUCAGAACUACGAAAUCUCUAUGCAAAACCACACUCUCGAUGCUACUUGAAGAGAAUGCCAGAGUGCUUAAAACAAAAUUGUGAGCAAAAAGAGAAAAAGAAAUGAGUCCCAUGCCCUCUGUCCCUCCCUUUCUCACCACAGAGCUCUGCCGCAAGCAAAGGCAGACCAAUAAAAACUACUAGAAAUCCACAGGAGGGCAUAGGCAAGGGGAUCCUAGGGAGAGCUGGAAAGGGUGCCAGAAAAAUUAAAUAGAGCAGGACUUCAGGAAGGGGAUUUCAAAGUAUGUGCCUUUUAAUAGGUAGGCAGAUAAUUAAAGGACAAGACACAAUUUAAAGGGAUAGACACAGUUGAAAUGAGCAAGUGUGAUUUAAAGGGAUGGUCUUUCAAACACAUAACUUCUAGGAGAGAAAAAAAGUGGGGGGGGGGGAAUGAAGAAAAAAGCAUCGUUUAGCAAUGAGGUGGUAAGAAAAAAAUGUAGGAUCCCACAAGAAAAAGUAGAUCAACAAAAUUGGUGGACUCAGAAUUCCUCCCCUACCACCAAAACAAACAACAAAAUCCAGCUAAAGUACCCGAAUUUUACUAGAACAACAGUAAAGAAUGCCAUUUAACUGGGAACCAUGUAAAAUGUUCCAAUAUCGCAAAAUGAAAAACAGAACAAUAAAAUCCAAACAGGAGCAUUGCAGAACAAACUUUCAUGCAAAUUAACUGAGGAAAAUCCAAACUCCCCCAAGAAAAGACAUGAAACAGAAGGAAACUUUAAGUUUACACUUCACACUAAAUUAAAUAUAUCCUAACAAGCAUUUGAAGAUAUGAAAGACCACUUCAAAUUAGAAAUUCAAACACUGAGAGUAGAAAUGGACAGAAGAAAAAAACAUAUAGAGAAAUAAAAAAAUAGUUGACUGAAUUCAGAAAAGAAAUGGAAGAGAAAAAGACAUUAUCUCAGAAAUAAAGAUGAAAUUACACAAUGCCCAAUGAAAAACAGACUUAAGUGAAAAUUUAAUAAGAGACAUUGACAAAAAGCAAGAAAACAACAAAGAGAAUGAAAAUGAUACAAAUGAAGAUAUAAAGUAGAUCAGAGAAAAAUAGUGAAAGCAGAAGACAGGCAAAGAAGGAACAAUAUUUGUAUUAUUGGAGUCCCUAAAGAAGAAAAAGAAAACAAAUGAAACACAAUGACUAUUGAAAAUUAUAAUCCAAAAAAUUUUUCCAGAAAUAGAAAAAGACCUGAAUCUACACUUUGAAAAGGUUUAGUAGGUACCUAGGAAAAUUAACCCAGAAUGAUCAAAACUGAGAUAUAUCCCAGUAAAACUAUUAGAUUUCAAAGAGGAAAAUAAAAUCUUCAAGACCUCCAGGCAAAACAAUAAUAAUAAUCUUUGCAAAAUUAUUUUUUUGCAAAAUUAGUAAUGGCAAAAGAGUUCAAAUGGCACCAGAGUUUCUAAAACCAAAGUACAAAGGAGUAACAUUUUUUAAAAGUUCAAUGAAGGAAAUUAUGAACAAAGGAUUUUAUAUAUAGUCAAGCUGUCCUUGACUAUACCAGUUAACAAUACUAGGGGCUGGCCCCAUGGCGGUGUGGUUAAGUUCAUGUGCUCUGCUUCAGUGGCCCAGGGUGUCACCGGUUCAGAUCCUAGAUGAGGACAUGGCACCACUCAUUAGGCCAUGCUGAGGCCGCAUCCCACAUGCCACAACUAGAAGGACCCACAAGUAAAAUAUACAACUAUGUACUAGCGGGAUUUGGGGAGAAAAAGCAGAAAAAAAAAGAUUGGCAACAGUUGUUAGCUCAGGUGCCAAUCUUAAAAAAUAUAUAUAUAUAUCAUAUAAAAGUUAUGUCAAAUAACGAUUUUCAAUAUAUAAGAACAUAUGGAAUUUUGUACCCAUAAAGUAUUCUUGAAGAAUUUACUAAAGAAUAAGCUUUAUCCAACAAACUGUGACUAGGAAAACUUCAAUAAAAAGUCUGAUAUGAGGCAUUGUAAAAUAUAUAAAUAUACACACAAUAUUAAAUCAAAUUGGAGAUGGAAGUGAAAGACUACCAUAUAGCUGUUAUGUAUCAUGACAAAGUAGAAACAUUGCAACUAAAAUUUGGGAAAAGAGAGGGGAAAAAGUAGAUAUGCCUAUAUUGCAGUAUAGGCAUUAAGAGGACAGUAGAGGAUCAAAAUCCUGAUUUGGGGAAAAAGUUAAAAAAAUUAGAUAAACCACAGGCUAACUUGAUCCCAAAAAAGAGCAAAAGUACAAAUAUACAGAAAAGGAAAAAAUUAAUGAAAAGAGAGAAAUAAUCAUUGAAAUAGAAAAAGAUUUAUAGAUCAUAAGAGACUAAGCUAUAGACCUCUAUGCAAAUAAAUUCAAAAACCUAGAUGAAAUAGAUAAUUUCCUAGGGAAAUAUAUAUAUUUACCUCAUUAGAGUUAGAAAGCUUAAACAAACCAAUUUUCAUACAAGAAAUAGAGAAAGUUACUAAGGAGCACACCCCCACCUCCCACCAGACACACACACAAAUCACCAGGCACACAUGAUUUCACAGGGGAAGUCUACCAAAGCUUCAAAUACUAGCUAGUUCCAUUGCUCUAUAAAUUGCUCCAGAAUAUUGGAAAUGAAAGAAAACUUUUUAAUCCUUUUUAUAAUACAAAUAUAAUACUCACACCUAAACAAAGACAAUGCAAAGAAAUAAACACUCACGAAUAUCAGUGCAAAAAUUCUAAACAAAAUAUUAGUAAACAAAAUACAACACAUUUAAAUCUCUUCAACACUAGCAAAAGGUUGUCUAGCCACACCCUUAACUUUCUUUCCAGAACAUGCUUACCUAACAGCAAAUCUCCUCAUUUUAGCAGCAUUUGUAGUAGACUAGAUAGGCUGAUGAUUUCUCAAAUUAUCAAGUGCUGGUUUCUCUUUGCUUAACAAUUCUUUUCUCAAUUUGUGUCUUUCCUUUGUCAUUUUACUAUAAGCGACAAGAAGAAACCAGGCUGCACCUUCAAUAUCUUACUUGGAAAUCUCCUCAGCUAAAUACCCAGGUUCAUCACUUACAAAUCCUGCUUUACACACAACUGUAGGACACAAUUCAGCUCUCCUUUCUGCCACUAUAUAGCAAAGAUCAUCCUUCUUCCAGUGGCCAAUAACGUGCUCCUCAUUUCUGAGUCCCCACCAAAAGUGCAUUUAAGAUUUAUAUUUCCACCAACAGUCUGUUUAAGGCAAUCCAGGCUUUUUCUAUUAUGUAUCUCAAAAUUCUUCUAGCCUCUACCCAUUAUCCAGUUUCAAAGCCACUUCUACAUUUUUAGGUAUUUGACAGCAGCACCUCACUUCCUAGUAUCAAAAUUUCCAUCAGUUUUCUAUGGCUACUGUUACAAAUUACCACAAACUUUGUGGCUUAAAACAACACGAAUUUAUUCUCUCAUAGUUCUGGAGGCAAAAAGUCUGGAAUUCAGAUGUUGAGAGGGCCAUGUGCCCUCAAUAGACUGCGAGAAUCCAUUCCUUGCCUCUUCCAGCUUCUGGUGGCCAGCAGCAUUCCUUGGCUUGUGAUUACAUCACUCCAAUCUCUGCUUCCAUCUUCACAUUGCCUUCUCCUCUAUGUAUGUGUCUGGUCUCACUCUACCUCUCUCUUAUAACCACAUUUGUGAAGGCAUUUAGGACCCACUUGGAUAACUGAGGAUAAUUUCCUCAUCAGAAGAUUCUUAAUUUAAUCACAUCUGAAAAAUCUUUAUCACAUAAGGAAACAUUUACAGAUUCCAUUGAUUAGGAUCUGAUGGCCAUUAUUCAGCCCGCUAUAAAGAACAAUAACUCUAAAGGAAAGAAAAUCAUCUGACUAUCUCCAUAGACACUGAGAAAGCAUUCGUCAAAAUUUAACACACAUUAUGGUAAAACUAGUCCAGUAUAUAGGAAUUGAUGUAUACUUUCUCAACAUAGAUAAGUAGUUCCAAAGUCAAUUUCUUAUUUAAUGGAGAAACACUAGAACCAUUUCCACUAAGAUCAGGAGUGAGACACAAAUCUCCACUGUCUCUGCUACCAUCAGAGGUACUAGCCAAUGCAAUUAGGCAAGAGAAAUCAAUUAGAGGCAUGGGAAUAAUUAAAGAAGAAGGAAACCUAUAUUUGAAGAUGAUAUGAUAAUAUACCUGGAAAACCCCAGAGAAUCAUUAAUAAAAUUAACUCAAGCAAUAAAAGAAUUUGUUGAAGUAGCAGGAUGUAAAUUGACAUAUAAAAAUCAAUAGGCUUCAUAAAAAUAAACAGGGGACAUAAUGAUAGAGAAAAAAGCAUUUACAAGAGGAUCAAAAUGUAGUAAAUAUUUAUGAAUAAAUUUAACAAGAAGUGUGCAAACCUGUACAAGGAAAACUUUUUAAACACUCCUGAAAGACACUACUAAAGUCUUGGAUAAAUGGAAAGACAUCCCCUAUUCUUGGAGAGGACUAUGGCAUUAUACAAAUAUCAGUUCUCCCUAAGUUAAUUUACACAAAUUUAAUACGAUUCCAAUAAAAUAUCAACAAUCUAUGUUCUAGAGUUAAAGUUGCUACCACAGUUCAUACAGGGAAAAAAAACAUGCAGGAUUGGUAGAAAAACACUAAAAAAGAAAAAAUGCAUGUGGUGACUAGUCUUACCAGAAAUUACAACUUUCUAUAAAGUCUUGACAAUUAAAACAGUGUGGUGUUGGGACAACAGAGACAUAAACAAAUAGAUUAGUGGAAUUGGAUGGUCCAGAAUUAGACCCAAAUGCAUAUGGAAAGCUAGCGUAUGACAAAAGUGGCAUCUCAAAUCACUGGGAUAAUGAUGAACUUUUUAAUAAAUAGUUCUGGAACAACUAGGUAGUCAUUUGGAAAAAGAUAAAAUUAAGUCCACAUUUCACAUUGAACAGUAGAAUAAACUCCAAGUAGAUUAGGAAGUGUAACAACUGAAACCAUUUGAUAUAGAGGAAAACAUGGCUAAAUUAUUCUUUAACCACAGUAAGGAAAAGGCUUUCUCAUUAUGAUUUAAAAUCCAGAGACGAUUUUUAAAAAGCACACGUUGAUAAAUUUGACUGCACACAAAUUAAAAUUUUUCCAUGCCAAAAAAAUACCAAAACAAAGUCAAGAGACAACUGACAAAUGGGGAGAAAAUACUUCAGCAAAUACUAGAGCAAGAGAGCUCAUAUUCCUCAAACAUAAAGAAGUCUUAAUAAUUGAGGGACAAAGAGAAGGAUCAAAAUCCUGACAGAAAAAUGAAGGAAAGACAUAAACAGAUAAUUCACCAAGAAAAAGAGAUAAAAAUGGUCCUUAAAUACGCAAAAAAGUACUCAAACUCACUUACAAUUAAAGAAAUCCAUUUCUCACCUAUCAAAUUGGCAAAAAUUUGAAAAUAGGAGAAUUGCUUCUACUAGUAAAGUUCUUUGGUGAAGCUCUGGGAAACAGACACUUCCAUAUAUUCCUGGUGGGAACGCAAAUUUGUACAAUCCUUUGAGAAGGACAUCAGGAAAUGUCUAGCAGAACUUCACAUGCAUUUUCUUUUUCACCUAGCAAUCCCACUUCCAGGGGCUAUAUCUCCAACUUUGCAAAAAUACAUGUGCACCAACUUAUUCAUUGCUGCAUUGCUUGUAAUUGCAAAACACUGGAAAUGACUUAAAUGCCCAUGUGUGAGAGAGUGCUUGAAUAAAUUGGUAUAUCCACACAAUGGAGUACUAUGCAACUGUGUAAAAGAAUGAGGAAAACCGUGACAGGUAUUAAAUGAAAAAAGGCAAAGCCCCAAAUAGUAUCUAGAGUAUGUGAUCCUUUGUGUACGAACUUAGAUAUAAGAAAAUACACGUCUGCUCAUUCAUGCAAGAGAAAAUGAAGAAGGAUAAAAAGGAUUUGAGGGGCCGGCUCCGUGGCCAAGUGGUUAAGUUCACGAGCUCCACUGUGGCGGCCCAGGGUUCGGAUCCUGGGCAUGGACAUGGCGCCGCUUGUCAGGCCACGUUGAGGUGGCGUCCCACAUCCCACAACUAGAAGGACCUGCAACUAAGAUAUACAACUGUGUACAGGGGGAGGAUUGGGGGAGACAAAGCAGAAAGAAAAAAAAAAAAGAUUGGCAACAGUUGAUAGCCCAGGUGCCAAUCCUGAAAAAAAAAGAAAGGAAGGUGCCAAUCUUUAAAAAAAAAAAAAAAGGAUUUGAAUAAACUCAAAGUAUCUCCCUCAAAAUACUUAUCAAUAAAAAGGGAAAGAUAGUAACUUUAUGGUCCAGCAGAAAUCAGCCCAACUAAGUGAUCAAGGUAAAUAUUACCAGUAACAAGAUAUAUCAACAUCAUGAAUUCCUUCAUAUGACGUGAUGAAAAAGGGACACACUAUCAUUUCUGUGAUAUUCUUGCCAAAAGUGCAUAAUCUAACCCAAAUCAUGAGAAAAUAUUAGACAAAUCUAAAUUAAAGGACAUUCUACAAAAUUACUGAUUGCUACUCCUCAAAAGUGCCAAGGUCGGGAAGGACAAGGAAAGACUAAGAAAGUGUCACAGACUCACAACGUGAGGUCCUGCAUAGGAUCCUGGAACCCGAAAAUAAUACUUGCAGGAAAAUCACUGAAUUUCUAAUACAGUCUGUAGUUUCGUUCAUAAUAUUGUACUAAUGUUAAUGGCCUAUUCUUGAUAUUUAUACUCUGGUGAUGAGAGCUAUUAACACAAGUGAAAGCAUAGUGAAGGAUUUAAAGGAAACCUUUAUAGUACUUUUUCAACAUUUCAUAAGUAAAAUUAGUUCAAAAUAAAAUGUUGUUUUAAAGCCAAAAAUGGAUCUCUUAACUUCUAUUCAGGGUUUUUUGGAAACCUCCACCUUUCCACAAUUUUCCCAUGAAAGUUUCAAAACAUUUCUAAAACCACAUACCACUAAUCUUAAGCUCACAGUGAUCAGAAGGGCAGCCUUGCAGGAUGCCAAAUUAGUCAAGAAGAGGAGAAAGCCAAAGGGGCACCAGAGGAAAUGGAGCAGCUGAGGGAGAGAUUUUUAAAUGACCUCUUUUGUGUUGCUAAAUUUAUUCAUAACCUGGAAUAGGCUACAACCAUCAGAAGGACACAAAACUCAUCAGGUAAAUUCAAAGACUUUUUAAAAAUGCAUCUAACCACCUCCUGUCCAAAACAUUCAAGCUUAACCUUUCUCCUGAAAAUGCAAUCUGCUCUUUACACCCUGCCCGCAUACCAGACUCCGAGACCUAGAUUGUCACACGAGCAGAACCAUCACCUUGUCCUGAUUCAAUAGGUUCGUGUUACAUUAUCAGCUUGAGAUCCUGGGGGUAUGUGGAGAUGUGCCUAUUCAUUGCUGAAAGAGUUCACGCACAAUUUAUGUCCUUCACAGAACUGUGUUCUUAAAACUAUUUUUGGAAUCCAUUUAAUUAUGUUUUUCAAACAACCACAUUAGGAGGUGAUUGUUCUUCGUAUUAGAAGUAAAAGAAAUGAGACAAAGAUCUCAAAACAAUUAAAUGAGAUGCUCAUGAUAAAAAGACUUUGAUAAAGACAACACCAGAUGUAAUAUCUCCAGCCUCUGCAUCCUCUUUUUGAUCUAGAAGAUUGUGCUUCUAUGGGAAAUGUGUACAUGGAGCUACUGAGCGCCGGUAAUCCAGCUGACAUGGCUAUAGGCAUCACAUUCACAAUGUAGUGAUGUACUUUGAUUGCUUCGGUCUUUACACUUUUUGAAGCCUUCUUCAUGUAUUUUAUUUAAUUUUAUCCUCAAACCACAUUGUGAGCACAGGUAGGAUAGAUAUUUCCUUUUAAUGAUGACGCUAUGGCUGAAAGGUUGUGUACCCCAAAAUUCAUAUGUUGAUACCCUAGUUCCUAAGAUGAUGGUGUCAGAGAUGGGGCCUUUGGGAGACGAUUAGGCGGUGAGGGUGGAGGCCUCAGGAAAGGGAUUAGUGCCCAUUUGAAAGAAGUUCCAGAGAGCUCCUCUGGCCCUUCCACCAUGUGAGGACACAGCAAGAAGCGGAGAAGUCCGAGACCCAGGAGAGGGCCCUCACCCAACCACGCUGGCACCCGGAUCUCACACAUCCAGCCUCCAGAACUAUGAGAAAUAAGUUUUUGUUGUUCAUAAACUACCCAAUCUCUGAUAUUUUGUUAUAGUGGCCUGAAUGGACUAAGACAAAAGAUAACACCACACUAUUCAAUAACACUUUAAACUACAUGAAGCCCCCUUAUUGACAUUACCUUACUUAGGUCCUACUAAAAGGAAAAGUGUAAGUUAGUAUUACCCCCAUUUUCUAGAUAACUGAGGCUCAGAGAUGGGCUGAUCCAACGUCACACAGUUAGUGAGGGGAGAGAUGGGAUUUAAGAGCAAGUUUUCUGACUCAUAAUCUAGGAAUUCUCCCCCACUAUGCCAUAGCUGCCUAUGAAAAUGAGGAGAAAUUACAAGUUUCUACUGACUCCAAAAAUGAGUUCACGCAUGACUUCAUGCUAGAAGGGACUCUAAUGGGAUCAUUCUGCUUAGCUGCUUAACCACCACUGCUGUCCCAGUGGGGCCUGGCAGAAACAGAACACGGGCACAAGUUUGCGAGUAAGAGCAGCCCCAGACCAGGCAGCAGGCUAGGAUUCGGGCAGUUGUCUGUAUGGAUGUCAGUGGUUCACUUAGGAACCACUCCCAGGAUGUUCGGAGAGCCAGAGAGAAUGUAUGUUAACUCAUUAAUUAAAAACUCAGAAAGAAUCAUUAAAUAUUUGAGGUAGGAGACAGUGAAGCUUAGGAUGGCUCCUAUUGUACAAAAAAAAAUUGAUUGAGCCAGCUCUGUAUGCUUCCCUUCUUGCCCUUGCAUGUCUUCAAGAUAUGGUGCGCACCUUGCCUAGCCCGGGAGAACUGAGUUUCACAAAUAACAGGACUCCAGAGUCAGGCUUGACCCUUCAGUAUGCUGCUGGGUUCCAUGAUGUUCCAGAGUCUGACCAGGGUCUAUGAUAGAAAGAAAAGAACCAAGAAACUGAAGAGGGAAGGGCUGUAGGAGUGAGGCGGGUGUGCAGAGAAUUGCCUUCCUCCUGGUCCCUGGCUAUGCUGAGGGUGGCGCCUAGGGCGAAAUUCUGGCCACCCCUGUAAUGGCCCACAGAGUUCAGUUGGACAAAGCUCACUAAUCUGGCAGCUGUCACUUCACUUAGAGAGACAUGAUCGAUUUUAUUGCCUGUGGCCUGGAGUCUGGGGCCACACCAGGUGUUGCUGCCAGGUGCAGGCGGAGCUGGCCCUCCCCGUGGCUUCUGCAGGACAAGAGUUUGGAGGCCUUUUCCUCCAGAGUUGAGGGGAUUGGGGUUUGCCUCUGCUGGUUUUUAUGUGGCUGCUUUGGGGGAAACUUUCACAAAAGCGUAAAGCGGCGUUCUGAUAAAUGGUGGCAUGAGAGCUGCGCGGGAGUUCUGGCCCUGAAGGUCACCAGGAAAAGACCAAAACUGGUAAAUUCAGGGAUGUUUUGUCCCGAACUUGCAAAUCCAAACAAUCUCACAGUCAUGAAAUGGAAAGUUUGUGGGAAAAACAAAUGCUUUGGUUAUUACAGUGUUACUACAUUCAUAAAAUAUAUUUCAUUGGGGGGGAGUUUACACAGGGGGUAAUGAGAUUUUUGCUUUAUACAUUAUUUAUCACUGCUUAAUCCAGGUACUGUGGGUUAUUUUUUUAUUCCUUCGUUUUCACAGCUACAAAACACUUCAGUAUUUCUAAUUUAUUUCUGCUUACAAUACAGAUGUUCUCAAUUGUGUUUCUAACUACAUUUCAACCGUUAUGAUCGUGUUUAUUUGUUUGUGUCAGCAGACAAGCAGGGGCUGAAUGUGCGGUACACAAUAGUGAGGCUUCCAGAAGCCUGUAAAAAGGCCUCUUCUGCUUUAGUUAUCAACAAAUUAAAGUACGCUGUGUGGCGCGAUCUUUAUCAUCGCAGUUUUAAUCCUCCGACAAUUCCCCUGCAGUUGGGUAAGCAGAGCAACACCCUCUCUCAGUGCGGAGAGGUUGCACGCCUUCAAACAGCACUUUUCAAGAUGACCAUUUGGAAGCAACAUUUGGAGAACAUUUGGGUUAUGUCCUCUAACUGAAUUUCCAAGCUGUUGGUAACGGACUAAAGAAAAUGCAGUCUGUACUGAAUCCUAAGAAAGCAAGAGUGUGAGAGCCUUGAAGGUCAUGUGUAAAUAUUGACAUUUUAAUUUUCUUUAGCAUACCAAAGUGGGGCGCUUGUGUUGCUUAUCUUCCAUAAAAACUCACCCAUUUGCACUGCUCCCCAGAUUGUCGGGGGAGAGAUCUAAUCUGAGCAGCCGUGGGUGCUCUUCCUUGUCUUUGCUAACAAGGCUGAGUUUUGUUUGUGCAAAAUCUGAGUCAGAGGGGCGUUCCUCCCCUCUCGUCUCCACCACGGCCUGAUGCACCUGAUUAGAUAACAGAAAUCUGUGGGCUGAAUGUUCAUGUAGUAACAUGAAAGCCAAGAUGCAAAACAUUCAGGGAAAACAGCCUCCCACUCUCUCAGAGAGUCAAGUUAGGCUAUUUGGGGAACUAAUAACUGGCUAAUUUGGCCAGAACACCUUUCUAUGUGUCCUCAGAAGCAGCACGAGGAAGAAAUGCCAGCAUGUCCUCAGUCUCUGUACCCUUCUCACAAACCAGGACUCCACCUGCAUAGCUUAAUUUAAUCAGGGCCAAUUCUGAAGGUGAAAUGCAGGUGACAGCCCCAUCUCCCCGCCAACAGCAGUGGUUAGUGCUCCCCAGGCGCUUAACAACUUCGCCAAGACGCUUAGGGGCUGACCUACUGCAUUACUUUCCUACGCCAAAGCCAAGAGCCCCGCUUAUGGAGAACAGCCUGGCAGUUUGAUAACAUGCCAGAGGCUCCUGUCUCCCCACGGUGAGGUCACUGGAAUCAUUUCCCUCCUGAGACAUGGUCGAUUGAAACGCAGCUCUUGUGAAAUGAGGGGCCAGUGAGUGAAACAUGGAGAAAGCAGGGCCACCUCAAAUGGUCUUUGGCCUGAAAGGUUUUUCCUAAGUGAAAAGAAGAAAACUGAAUGUUGGAUCAAAACGAUCUUCCAGUGCUUCAUAACUCAAGCUCUCCGACUGACCUCAAAAAGGGGGAGAUGGCCCAAAAGACCAACAUCAUUGUCUGCUCUCUGCAUUUGAAUUUUGAAAGGUGCUCCUCAAACAUUAAUGAUCUAGCCUCUGUGCCCAAAUAAAUGUCAUGAUUUACUACUCACACUCUAGUUACAAAGCUAAUCACCCUUCCCUCCUCCAGCUCUGUAAGUCUUGGCCGGUUCAAUGAUUGAAAUACCUAGCGCAAGAGAUUAAAGGAACUCUCAAAGAUACAUUACUUUGUUUUGUGUUGAAGCAGUACUGAGUGGGCAGAGUGAGUCCCAUUCAAAAUUCCCAAAUGGGCAAAUUGUGUGCCUGUUGGCCCUUCCCUCCUCUCUCCGGGCUUUCCUCUCACCUCCUUAGCAAACCACCCCUUCAUCCCCACUGAUGAACUUCCAAGGUUCUUCCAGCUCUGUUGGUCCCUUUUAGCCACUGGAAAACAAAGCCAAUAACUAGCUUAGCAUAUUUGCCUGCGUGAAUUAAUUUUGUGUUUUGCUGAAACCCAGAGAAUUUCCAUUUUUAAGGGAAGGAAAGAAAGCCAAAGGAAGGAAUCUUUAGGGUGGAAUGUCAGACACCAUGACACCUGGAUAAAAUAUAAUUUGGGGCAGGGGACGAUAUUCUCAACAUCCCAAAAGUAGAAAAACCAGUCAAGUUCAGUACCCAUCAGGCAGACCUGGUAAAUUUCAGGACAGGGCCCUCCCCCACCCCCAACAUAUACACAACUUCCCACUGUGAUGUUCUAGGCAUAGUGUAUAAUAGCUCUACCUACCUACUCAGAGCCUAAUACUAAUUAGUUUUAAUUAACCUAAUACCUGAUGCCUGAAUACCUGAACUAAAUUAACAGAGUCUGGCUGUCCUGGUUAUUCCCAAGAUCCUCUUGCCUUCCCACCCCCACAAAAAAAUGGCCCAGUAGUUAAAAAAAAGUCCAGAAAUGAAUAAAGAGCAUGAUAGAGUUUCUUUAGAACAUCUAAGUUAAUGUUGCACAAUUCACUGUUUCUGUAAAGAGUUUGAUUCCCCUAGUUGGCCCUGAUUUGUUUCAGCCUAAAGUCUACGAUGCUUUCCUUCCGGUUUGGUCUCCUCCACAUAUUCGAACCUAUAGAGGUGAGUGGCGAGACUGAGAAGACUUGUUUUAUUCGAGUUUGUGAAAAUGAUAGCUUUUAUCAAGUUCGAUGUCAUAAGUUUUCUUCCACAAGACAGAAGAGUAUCCUUCCUGGUGAGCAAUAGUUCUUUAUUACAUAGAAAUCGUUCCUAAUUCUCAGCAGAUAGAGCAUUAGAGAAAACAGGUGUAUUCUCCCAAGUCACAAAGAAUAAUGUGAUGGUCAAUAUGAUUGACUGUUGUAAGCUUUCAUAGCUCAUUUCAGACUGAGAUCCUGAAAUACGGGAAAAGAUCAGUGCCUGCUGGCCAAGGGAGAUCAUUGUGCUGACCAAGGGAGACCAUUGCUGGAGGCAGAAAAUAAACCUCCCAAAAGGUGACCGGGACAACCAUCACUUUCAACAGUGUGUUAAAAGCAAUAAGAUAAAAGGAAUAGGAAACUUAGACUGUGCUUCCUGGAUUCACAAAACAUUCUCAAAAGAAGAGGUAAAUUUCCAUUUUCUGUGAAGUUUAAAAUCUACAAUUUUCUGGCAUCAUUGCCGGAUAUGUAGGAAAAAAAAUCUUUUUUUCGUCUGGUGUAGUGUAUCCCAAUCAGUGUGCACAUCAGGAACACCUGGAGAAUUACGUGGAGUUUUGUUUAUUUGUUUGCUUGUUUCCAAAAUACGUGGUAGCAAUCCACUACAAAAUUUGUACUGAAACUGAAUUUCAUAGUCUGAGGUCAAAGAAAUGUGUACUUUCAAAAAUUCCCCAAGUAAAUUCUGAGAUUGACUCCUAAUUCAACAACACAAAUAUAAACCCUUUAAUUCUACCUUUGAAAGUUGUGAUGACCAACUUUCAGAUUUAAAACCCAUACCUUCUUGACUUGGUAUGUGGGGACAAGGAAAGGAGAGAGUUUAAAUGCUGAAGACAACUUUGACAAGAGUGAACAUGAGGUUAACAAAUUUAGAACCCAAAAUAAAAGAAGGAGAGAACUGUCUUUCCUUGUCUUCUUUCACUCUGCUCUCUCUUGAUUCUCCUCUCGGUAUUGCUGCCAGGCCCUCUCCCUCUGCCUGCUCCAGAAAGGUUUUCUUCCCAUGGUCCUCUUACCCUGUCAGCCUAAGUACUAUCCUAGAUGACCUCAUCAAUCUCCUUGGCUCCAACCCCACAUACACUUGACUCCUGAAUUAGGCUGCGCAGGCUGCCAUAACAAAGUACCACACACUAGGUGCCUUAAACAAUAGACUUUUUAUUUUUUCAUGGUUCUUGAGGCUGGAAGUCCAAGACAAGAUAUUGGCAGGGUUGGUUUCUGGGGACUCUCUCCUUGGCUUAUAGAUAGCCAUCUUCUCUCUGUGCCUUCACAUGGUCUUCCUGCUGGGUGUAACUCUGAGUUCUAAUUUCCUCUUCUUAUAAGGACACCAGCCAUAUUGGAAUAGAGCCUACCUUGCUAACUUGAUUUUCAUUUAUUACCUCUUUUUAAGACUCUGUCUUCAAAUAGAGUCACAUUCUGAGGUGUUGGGGAUUAGAACUUCAACAUAUGAAUUUUGGGGGAAUACAAUUCAGCCCAUAACAACUCCAAAUUCUGUAACUCUAGAUCUACCUAAUGAGUGGUUCAUGAAGUUGAAGAACUCUCACAUGAAAACAAAGGGUAAGACAUCUGUGCUGCUUACGAUAUCAAAACAAGGACCAACGUGUGGAAGAUAAAGUUUGAAAUUUUCAGCCCAAUAUAAAAGAAGGAUUAUGUGACAAUAAGAAGGGUCUAGUUUUAUGGGCUGCUUCUCCUGACAAUAUGUCCCCACCACAGGAAGGGCACAGCAGAGGCUGGAUGGGUGCCUAUUAGGCCUGUCUUCAGGGAGAUACGGCAUGGGCCUCCAAGGUCCCUUUUCCUUCUUUAAUCUGAUGACUUUAGUGAAGGAACAUGAGCUCACAGGUGUUAAAUCAAGAUGAUCAAAAUAAAGUAGUAGCAGAGCUAAAAAGCAGAUGCAUACAUGUGUCUGUAAAUGCAGCACAAUCAGCCAGGAGAAAAACGAGUUUUUGGAACUCUUAGAUUCCUACCCUCCCUGGAGUAAUACAAUGGCAGCCAAGAUAGGGGUGUGAGUCGUUUCAAAAAUGCUAAGGCCUAGGGUAAAGCUGGCGGGUAAGAGUGGAGCUAGACCAACUCAGAAGUGUCUUUCCCAAGAUAAAAUUAUCAUUCAACAAGUGGAUGUCCAUGACAAUUCAAAUGGAAAUUUUUCAAAAGGAAUCACAAAGGUCAGAACCCAGUCGAUUUGACAUCAAUAAAUCUGCUCUAAGCAUCCACUUACAAGGGAUGUGCACAAAAGCCACUCAGGAGGCCAUCUGGUGGCUUGUGUCAGCAUCAAUGGGCCAGUUGUUGGAAGACCCUGACUCAGGAUCCAAUUCUUCUGUAUACUAGUCAGCUGACCUAAGGUAAGUCCUUGCCUUCUCGGAGCCUCAAUUUCCUUAUCUGAAAAAUAGGAAUAAUAUUACCUAUCCUGACACCAAGUUGUGAAAUUUGAUGAGAUCAUGUAAUUUAACUAUGAAUUUAACCAUGCAAUUUAAUUCAAUUCAACUAUGAAUUGUAAUGCCUUAUUCAAAUAUACGGUUUUAAUGUUAUUGCCGUUAUGUUUUUGUUCUUGCCCAAGGUAACUGCC
rnacentral:lncRNA from 1 species